rnacentral:rRNA from 1 species
GAUGAACGCUGGCGGCGUGCCUAAUACAUGCAAGUCGAACGCACGCACCCUAAGCUCUCCUUCCUCCUGUUUGCGAAGGGCGGGCGAGUAAGGCGUAGAUACCCUUCUUCUAAUUCCUGGUUAAUGUCGGAAAACACUUGGUAAUACUUGCUAAUACUGCGUACCGGUUUAUGCAGCAGAGCAUAAGAGUGUUCGCGACUCUAUGAGAUGGUUCCGCGGUGCAUUAGCUAGUUGGUAGGGUAACGGCUCACCAAGGCAACGAUGCAUAGCCGACCUGAGAGGGUGAUCGGCCACACUGGAACUGAGACACGGUCCAGACUCCUACGGGAGGCAGCAGUAGGGAAUCUUCGGCAAUGGGCGAAAGCCUGACCGAGCAACGCCGCGUGAGUGAAGAAGGUCUUCGGAUCGUAAAACUCUGUUGUUAGGGAAGAACAGCAGCGUAAGUAACUGAGCGUCUCCUGACGGUACCUAACCAGAAAGCCACGGCUAACUACGUG